GGGAUUUCAAGUGCUGGAUCUUCUCUUCAGGGUCUUCCAUGGAGGAUUGAUGGCGAUUCAGGGCUGGUGUGCGCGAAUCUUCGUGUGGGAUGUCUUGGUUGGGGUUUUGAAAGAGAUGGGAGAGUUUCUUUUUGGACAUACUUCGUUGCGGUAAGGAAGACAGGAUUUAAGAAUUUAGGGUUAGGGUUUUUGCUAGGGAGAAAUCAGAGAGAGAUAUACAAGGCAGAGGAAGAGCCAGAAAAAAUGGAGGGGAGAGAGAGAGACUGUCGAGAGUUUAAAUUUUGGGCCCACA
rnacentral:misc_RNA from 1 species